rnacentral:lncRNA from 12 species
AGAGAACCAUGAUUUCUUCAUUAUGGUUUUGAUACGGAUUUUGUGAUUUUUUCCUAGGCUGCUUCAUUUUGAUCUCAAUGGAGCUGAGCAGCACAGUUACUCAAGCAAAAGGUGAGGAUUCCUUUCUCAGGAAACUUCAAGAGCUCUGUACCAGUCCUCCUGUUGUACGGGGCACAAGGCGACCCAUCAUCUGAGGCAGCAUCCCUGCCACGAGCCAUUUACUGCAACAAAAGACGCUGUGUUCAUGACACAGCUCAUCAUCAGUCAGUCCUGAUGCACAAGAUGUCACAUCCACUGCUGGAGAACAAGGGUAAUUUGGACUUUGCUUUUUG